rnacentral:rRNA from 1 species
CUCGUAGGUGGCCAACUAAGUCAUGCGUGAAAUCCCUCGGCUUAACCGGGGAACUGCGUCUGAUACUGGAUGGCUUGAAUCCGGGAGAGGGAUGCGGAAUUCCAGGUGUAGCAGUGAAAUGCGUAGAUAUCUGGAGGAACACCGGUGGCGAAGGCGGCAUCCUGGACCGGCAUUGACACUGAGGAGCGAAAGCCAGGGGAAGCAAACG